rnacentral:misc_RNA from 1 species
GAUGAAGAACGUAGCGAAAUGCGAUACGUAAUGUGAAUUGCAGAAUUCAGUGAAUCAUUGAAUCUUUGAACGCAUAUUGCGCUCUCUGGUAUUCCGGAGAGCAUGCUUGUUUGAGUAUCAGUAAACACCUCAACUUCCAUAUCUUUUUUGAAAUGGGAGUUGGACUUGAGUGAUCCCAACGCUUUUCCUCACCGAAAAGUGGCGGGUUACUUGAAAUGCAGGUGCAGCUGGACUUUUCUCUGAGCUAUAAGCAUAUCUAUUUAGUCUGCCUAAAAAACAGAUUAUUACCUUUGCUGCAGCUAACAUAAAGGAGAUUAGUUCUUGUGCUGACUGAUGCAGGAUUCACAAAGACGGCUUCGGCCGACUUUGUAAACUCGAUCUCAAAUCAAGUAAGACUACCCGCUGAACUUAAGCAUAUCAAUAAGCGGAGG